rnacentral:tRNA from 1 species
GGAUAUAGCUCAGUGGUAGAGUGUUUGCCUAGUAUUCAAGAGACCCUGGGAUUGAUUCCCAGCACCA